AGUGAACGCUGGCGGUAGGCCUAACACAUGCAAGUCGAACGGCAGCACCGUACGAGCUUGCUCUUACGGGUGGCGAGUGGCGGACGGGUGAGGAAUACAUCGGAAUCUACUUUUUCGUGGGGGAUAACGUAGGGAAACUUACGCUAAUACCGCAUACGACCUACGGGUGAAAGCAGGGGAUCUUCGGACCUUGCGCGAUUGAAUGAGCCGAUGUCGGAUUAGCUAGUUGGCGGGGUACAGGCCCACCAAGGCGACGAUCCGUAGCUGGUCUGAGAGGAUGAUCAGCCACACUGGAACUGAGACACGGUCCAGACGCCUACGAGAGGCAGCAGUGGGGAAUAUUGGACAAUGGGCGCAAGCCUGAUCCAGCCAUACCGCGUGGGUGAAGAAGGCCUUCGGGUUGUAAAGCCCUUUUGUUGGGAAAGAAAAGCAGCAGGUUAAUACCCCGCUGUUCUGACGGUACCCAAAGAAUAAGCACCGGCUAACUUCGUG
rnacentral:rRNA from 1 species